AAUUUCAUUGUCGUCAUCCCUGAACAUACACAACUUGAGAGCUGAUCAUGGAAGUGUCUGACAACUGUUUCACAGAAAUGCUUUAAAUCACAAGUCCACUGGAAAUGUCCACACACCGUCAUCUGACCUCAGGAGGAGGAAAUCCUGUCGCCAUCAAAGCUGAGUAAGACACCAGUUCACCAGCUUCCUUGUCUACAGGUUCCUACAGCUGUUGAUGUGAACUGUUUUCUUGCUGCGAUGCGAUGCCAGGUCGAACAAAGAACUGUUUUCAAGAGAUGUUGAGGUGAAUGACUCGACAGAGCUAUCACGUGACUAUGUCAAAAUCAGUUUGUGUGCACGCGCUCGGUCCUCUAGUUCAUAGUGGGGAGUUUUUAUAAACAAAUGUGAGCAGGAGUCGACUUCCGUGAGCGUAGGUUAACGAGAACAGUUCUCUUAAGAUGUAUAUGCCCGUUACUUUUGUACAUAAAUACUAUUUCUUUUAACUCUAUGGACCUGAAUUUCCGCGUUUACGAAGAAAAGCGAAAGUCGCCAACAUUUCCGUCUAUCUUGUUCUACAUCUCGUAUGCAUGUGUUGAAGAGUGAGUGAAAACGAGAGAGGAGGGGAAAUAGUUGUUAUCACCAUUCUACAGGAAUGAGUCACGUGAGUAUACAUUUACACUUUAUGACGAACAGAAGGCUGGAUUAAGAAAUAAGUAAGGAAAAUUGAAAAAACAUUUCCACCUAGCGGUCAUUUCACAGCACGAGGCAGGCACACCCAAGGGCAGAGGCCACAAAGAGACUAAAAAGAAAGCCAGAGAUUGACAAAUCGAAAUCAUCGACAAAAUGUCGUCGUCAUCAUCAUCUUCCUCGGCAUCAACCGCCCUUCACGUAUCCCUGGAGGACCACCUUCGGGAGGGUAUCUCUCAUGCCUAGCGACGUGGCCAAACCAUACCAGGGAUCGAAACCAACCUACAAGGCUACAUCCAAAACUGCGUAGAUGGUACAGAAACUGCCUUUCCUUGAUGAACCCAACAGCCCAGGGAGGAGGCGAAGGACGAACACAUGUCGACUGAGGGUUGAUACUCAUACACCAACACACGACAACGGUUUACGUGUUGGAUCCUGCGUCCGACACCAAAGGCACAGUCUCACCAGUUUUCUUGGCAUUGUCUGCAGCUGAAAAAUUAGAUCCAGUUUUGUUUUGAUCAGGGAGAGCCCACUACUACCACUUCUUUCACAGCAUCAUCCUGAUAGUUGAGUUUUGCUGCUAAUUCUUUUUUAUAACAUUCACAACCACUGAGCUUUGCACCGUCAUGACAACAGUUUAUCCUUGCAGAAGUUGCUGUCUUGGAAUACAGUUUUUCACAGACUAAAUGCUCUGAACAUUUCUCAAACUCUAGGUGACCGUUCAACCUAAAAUCUUCAGAAUCCCACUUUUCACACACUAAUGCCUCGUCGAUUUCUAUGCUUUCCUGGUGGUAGUUUAUGGUUAAUAACGUUUCCUUUUUAGGGCUUAGUGUAUCACUGAUGCCUUCAAAGUUCAACUUUACUAUGGGUUCCCUUGUAGACUGAGCCAUAACUCUGUUAAAGUCCACGCUGUUUUCCAUGCCUUCUCCACAACAGUUUACACGAGCUGCAGUAGCUUUUCUUGCAGGAAGUGAGAUUCCUCUUCCAGGGCUUUCGCUCCAUUCAGCAUUGUUUUGAUGGCUGUUUUCAUUUGCUGACAUUUCUCUUCGCCGACUAAAAUGCCACUACUUUUUUAAAAUGAUCCAGUAAGUGGUUAUUCCUCCCUGCGUGAGUUUCGUCUGCUUAUAGCUUGCAAUCGAUGACUUCAGCAAUUGAAAAGAUAUUUGUAGAACUUGUCUUUCUUUUUGAUUAUUCUUUUGGAAUCACACCACAUAUAUCUAGAAUUCUAGAUUUUUGUCUUCAACACAAGUGUCUAGCAACGAAGAAUGUGUGAAAGACAACUUCGCUGCUUUUUAAACAUCAGCGAUCUUAAAUGGCGGACCUUUUUCUGCGACUUAUCGUUCUUGGCCUUUUCAGAUUUGUGUUUUGUUAGCGUGGGCAAAACAGCGCUUUGAUCAAAUUUAGCAGCAAGUUUUUAAAAUCUUGAUGUUGCAUCUCUGAAAGAAUAUCUACAAAAGCAUGGAGUCGCUACUAAUCAUUACAGAAAGGAAACUUCGGUGAAAUUGGUCAAUGUGCCAGUCUGACACCAAGCACACUUAUGCCAAGAAAACCCAUGGAAAUGACUGCAUUCUGAUUUCCUUAAUUUUUGCAUUCAUAGAAUUUUCAACAACUGUGUAUUUUUCCAUGUGUGUUGACAGAGAUAAUGGAGCAUGCAGAAAUAUGGGUAUGUAACGAAACUAAACCUCAGGAUAUUUCGUAACUCCGAGGGCGUACUCAGAGACCUCUAGUGUACCGGAACAUGUGUAGUCACCACCAAAGUUCAUUGCCGCUUAGAAAGGUCAUUUCCUGCAUGCCAGAACCUCACUCAAAGAUCACAUUCCCACUUACAAUCAGGUGCCGUCCGUUUUACAUGCCGUAGAAGGUAUGUGUGAAGUAUGUGACUGAUAGUCCUCUUUUAUGGGUUGUGAAAAGCAAAAUCUGUGAGGUGCUUGUUAAGCUUGAUGAAAUUACCUUUAAUUGCACCAGGGUAUUUAUAAAUUAGGGUAUAUUACCUUCUUAUUUGGUGUGCUAACUUUGGUCAUUUCUUCUAAAUUUUACAGCAGUCGCUUCAUGUGCUGUACUCUGUGUGCAUUUUUCUUGUAGUAAGAUUACUGUCAUGUCAAGCUAUCUCAUCUGUGUUGUUCUUUACAUAACAUUGAUGUGUUCUUAGUUGUUUGAUUAAAUGACACACUGCAUCUUUUUAAUUUUAAUAAAACAGUGAUAUAAAAAUAUCAGUACAAAUGUUGUCUCAGCAAUCACAUUUGGAAAUUUGCGCAAACCAUUUUAACUUAUCCUAAAAAUUGCAUAUGAAUCAAGUUUAACAAAUAAUUUAUAUAACAAGCUGUAAUGGACCAUAUACACAUUUUGAUAUAGUGGCAAUAUGACUGUAAAACACUGCAACUUUUAUAUGAUUAUAGUACAGACUUAUGUUCAUGAUACCCUGUUCUGUUUAGUAAUGGUGACAUCAUUUUGAAUGGUUUAUGCAAAUUAGCUUAGCCAUAGUAUCGUUUGUUUAAAUAAAUUACCUUACAGUGUCUGGUCCUUGGCUAUUUUACAUGUCAUCAAAUAAAAAAUAUGACUUUUUUUAGUGGUGGUGACAUUUUGUUUGGAUAACACAAAUUUGUGCAGCCAUAGUAUUACUUGUUUUAAUAAAAUACCAAUAACCUUGCAGUGUAGAUUUGCAUUUUCAAGACCAAAAUAAAAUCAGUCCUUCUGUACAGAUUCAAGACAUGGCACGUGACAAACACGUCACCAAGAUUCGGACAUUUGUCAGCAAAUGACUUUGCCACAUUACCAACAUCAGAUGGCCCAAUAACAUCUCCAAUACAGACCCGUUGGAGAGAACCAACCUAAAGCCUGCCAGCCAAAACAUCAAGGAGCAGAAGUGGAGCUGGAUUGAUCACACCCUGUGAAAGUUGGCUGACAAUUUAACAAAGCAAAGGCAGCCAGGAUAACAUGGACCCAUCUAAAGAAGGAUGCCUAGAACCAGAUCCAUUGGUGUGGUGUACGUCUAGCCCUAUAUUUUACUGGGGAAAAACAAGACUAAGAAGAAUCUUGAAGUGCGUGAUCCUUGGCUGUUUGACAUGGAUAACAUUUCCAUUGUGUUUUGUCAAAAUAACAAGGCUAUCAGCAGCUGAACUAGAAAGAAAAGUGUGCUCCUGAUUGUUGUAGAAAUCAUUCUCUUUCAAGCAAGGCUAUGGAGUCAAAGGCUGCCAAAAUUUUGGGGGAAAGAUUUUUUAAAAUAGAUUUGGUUUUAGACAUGUGGAGAUGCUUUCUGAUGGAGAUUCCUCAAAUAUAAGACAGCUCUUGCAUUAGACCCAUACCCUGCAUAUAGAAGAAUGGCAAAUAAGGAGCUGAUCAUAAGGAUGGUUCAUGGGGUCCAAAUUCCAUGAUAUUAUCCAGUUGCUUCAAGACUACUUUCAUGGGUUUUUGAAGAGUAGGAGGUUCAGGUGCUCAUGCAGUUUGUGCUUUCGAAUUAGUUUCCUUAAUGAAAGAGUUACAUGUUGAUGUUGAUACCAUUAUCCUGACUGCUGACUAAGAAAGAUCAGCACAGAGUGUCUGCUACUUCUGCCGAUGCUCACAAAAAUUGCAAGGCAACGCAGGCUAAAUUGACACGUAAUAAAGACUUUGACUGACUUUUUGUUUAUACAUAAGUAAACAUUUCUAUGGGAGCUUUUUAAAAAAUAUUUAGUAUUUACUAAGCUUUCACUUUCUUUUCUGGCAUUUUUAUUUCUUGCUUUUUGUUACAGUUUUAUUACUUCAAAACUUUGUAUCUUUAUAUUAAAAUGUAAUACAGACGUAAAUUUGGUUGAGCUUUUCUGUAUAUAUAUAUAUUUAAACAUUUGUACGAGGGAUUUUUAAAAAAUUGUUUUCAAUAAAAUUUUCUUAAAUAUAAACACAACUGAGUUAUAAGCAUUUAAAAUAUUUUGGCACCAUUUUGUAUCGUUUCCAUGGCAAUCGAUAGAGUGACACUGUUAGGAACGGGGUGGGUGGGGUUUGUCUCCUCUGUCUGUUGGUAGGCAGGGAUUAUCACCUUUACCCGUAUACCUGUGGAAGUCAGGAUCCCUCUCGAUGGGGAAAAUACUGAGUUUGGUUAUUCCCACGCCAUCCUUCGAAGCAGAGAGACUGUAGCGAAUUUUGACAAAGUGUUUUUUUUUUUUUUUGGUUUGGCUUUCAACCUAUCCACGUAAGAAUGGUGUGAAAUGAUGUAAUAUUUGUUUAGAAGUCAUGAUAUGUGUGCAUUGGUGUGAAUGUCUCUUGACAUCAUCCGAACAAUGAGUUGAACUAUUUUGCUGAGCUAUUGGAGAAACUUUUCUGUAACUAAAUGGAGCGUCAAGGAAGUUGACAGUAGUCCAUGUCAGUAAUAUACUAUUUGUGGUUUAUAGCCAUAUGUUUAUGCAUUGAAGUUGAGUUAUGUAAAAGUUGUUGCCCUCCAUUUUACAAUAAAUACAAGCUCCCGCUCAAUACAGGAGAAAGCCCACGUACAAAUCUUUGGAUCUGUUGUAAGAAAGAACACGUGUGGGACGGAGUAUGUUGUCAGUGACUUAUUGUGCUAUCCUCAACACACGCGCAAUAAAAGUAUUUUUUAAGUUUUAUUCAAGGGCCAAACAAUUAAAAAUCAAAAUUGACGAUAUAUUAAAGGUAAUUUACUUAAAGCCGUGUCUGGUCUUAUAAGGCACAUAAGACCUCGCUUCCCUCUGUUCAAACAGCACCGACCGACCUAUGACGUAAUCCGAAACCAUGCUCGCGCCGCCAUCCUUGUUCUAUGACACGUGUUUUUGUUCAUCAUUUCGCGCUUUAUCCCAUGUAGCCUAUAUAUAGCUUCCACUAAAUUUUACCCUCACUGCAGCAAGCCAAAGUGGUGUUCAGCAUCUGAAAUCUGAGUCAUUUAUUUAGUACGAUGCCGCCUGCUAUUCUGUAAGCAGGUUAGCACAGAUUGAUUUUUGUUUUUGAGUUGUCGAGCAUUCAAAAUUACGUAAAUUUCGGAUAAGCGCGAGAUACGAUCGAUCGAGUGUUACAGGUUUCGCCAUGUGCUUCAACGGGGGAAAUAACUGUUGGAAAAGCUAGGACUGGCACCGGUGAAAUAUUUGACAGGACAGCUUCAUGAAACGCUGAAGACAGUAUGCUUUCAUAGAGUGAUAGAGAAGGCUAAUAAAUCGCUCUUUUAGGGAUUUCGACUGCCAUGCAUAAUAGUUUGUUUAUAUACAGGUAAUAAAAUAAUCCUAGGACAGUUCUACCCAGAUUCAGUUCGUAGUGAAUGAACUGCUGACCUUACUGAGCUGUUUAAUGUGACGUCAUAAAAACAUCGUUGAAGGACAACUAGUCUAUGAGCAUUAAGUCAUCAUAAUAAAACAUUUCUUGGUGUUUAUUCUUGGCUGCUAAAGCGACAAAGAAAUUUGAGUUUUUACAUUUCUUUACUUCAACUCAGGAACAAAAAUAUAUUUGAUUCGACUGUUGCAGCUUUGCUGACGACACUCAGCUGAUAUGUAUCUCACCAUUCAUUGUCUGUUACGUAAUGCUCAUUUACCACUACUGGUCAGCUCAGACAGAGUUCGACCUAUGUUGGUCGUGAUGCUGCACGAUACAAUUAUACAUUGUUAAACGAUAUAGUGAACAAUCAAUCGGCUUUUGUCAGUUUGACGCUUGAAAACACCUAUUUUAUUUUCAUUACAAUUACAGUUCUGUUUAAUAAAAAAAAAAAAUGCAUAUAGUACAAGUAAUUUGUUCAUAAGUCAAACAAAAAUCCAGUAUUAUGUGGGUUUUGGGGUGGAGUUUUUUAAAAGAAAUCAUCUAACACUUGGUCCAAACUUCUAUAACCUGAAAGCAAAGGUGAUCAGUGUUGUCAAAUGUAGCUAAGUUGUUGUGCUGCAGUUACAAAAGCUGUCAGUUUUACAGUUUACAUGACUUGUAACUGUAAAAUAUAUUGGUUGCAGGAAGCGAGCCGGUCAUGUCCCAAAGAAAAGAGGAAAGUGAUGACACUGUCAUUCCUUUAAAUGAUUUGGAACAAGAUUCUUCUGAUACAUUCGAGCUUUCAGACGAUGCUCUACAGGGUACAUCUUCAUCAAGCAAACAAAAAAUUGGCAUAGAUUUUGAUGAGGAUACUCUGGAUGAGACCCCAACGUAUAAAACUUCAAAGAAAUGGAGGGACAGUGGGUACCAGUCUUUUACCAGUGACUCGCAGUCAUAUUCUCUUGACGCUGAUGAGUCAGAAUGUUCAUGGGAAACCAAACAUAAUACCUCAGCUGACAUGAAUGUCACAUUCUGGAGUGAUAGCAGUUUGGAAACAGGAAGGAACUGCAAAGAAAAAUCCAAGACAUCACAAGAUAUGAACCUUUACAGUAACUCUGAUUCAAUAGAGAGUAACUUUUCAGAAACACAUGGCACCAAAAGAAUAAAAGACACAAACAAUAAAAUAAAACUUUUAUAAUGUUUUAUAGUGCAUUUAGUUGAUCUGUCUCUGAAUUGUGUGCCUUUUUCUUCUUAAUAAUAUCCAGCCUCUCUUAAGGAGUUGAGUUACACUAUCUUACAUGUUUUUACAGAUGACGUUUAACUCAAUCACUCUUCUAGCAAAGAUUAAUUUCUUUCUUUCCUUAAUCCUAUAUACACCCAUGCUUAAAUGGAAGCCUGUAUGUCAGAUAUUAAAACAUGAAAAUAAGCUCUAGUGACUCUUAAAUUGUAUCUUUGUUGAUUUUCAGAAUGGCAGACACACACGCACUCUUUUUUUUUUUUUUUUGGUGCUGAAUCUGUUCAUAAUCUAGCCCAGAGAUUCUCAACCUUUUUCAUGACUGUACCCCAAAAGGGUGAAAGUAUGUCCGCGUCUACCCCUCACAUGUAAGUUUGUGCAUAAAAGUACUUAUUUUCAUAAUGGCCUGUGCUUAUUUACACAAACAUAUUACAGAACUGCUGGCAGACGAUUUUUUUUUCUCCCAGUUAACUACUAAAAUGAGGCAGAUGUGUACAGAGCUUCCAGUUUAUUCCUAUUUCAGAUCACUAAAACGAGGCAGGUGUGUACAAAGCUUUCGGUUGUCACAUUCAU